GACCUAAUCAGGAGGCAACAGGCCAUCCUGAUGGGGGAGGGAGGAAGGUUUUCAACUCUCCCAAGGACAAGCUUUCUGGUGUCUAGGAAAGCAUUUCCAGAUUCACUGGCCGUAAAAUAGAGGAAAACAUCUACUGAAUCUGCAGAGACAGACAGGUCACAAGAGGACAGUAGGAACCCAAACCCUCUCUGCAGGAUCUGCUACAUCAGGCGGGGGAAAAGGUGUACAGAGGGGGACACAUGGAAAAACACCUGCAAGGAAGAGCGACCAGAGAGGAUGCUGAGGUGCUGGACUGGCCGGAUGAGGACCCCAAAACUGGAACAGCUGCUCAGCUGAAAGGAGAACUGGGAAUGGAGGACCAGGAACUGCUCUCAGCCUGUGCAAGGAUCCAGUGCGGGCUGAACUCAACAUGGCUUCAGGAAAUGUUUGGCUCUUUUUCUGAACACAAAGUAAUUAACAGGUAAUGGUUUUCCUCCUAAAGCAGCAGUCUAAACAUGGUUUGGCUUAGUUAAGGAUGAUGUUUAAACACCCUCUAUUAUAUUCUGUAUAUUUUUGUAUAUUUUCAGCUGUCAACAUUGUGCUUUCCCAAAUGGACUAAAUUCAAAGAGAAAUUAACUUUGAUAUGUUUUCUUUAAGUAAUAUUUUAGUUUACUAACUUAAUUAUUUCCUGCUGUGGAAAUUAUGCCUUCUCACGAUAGCCUAACAGAGUAGCCUGCAAGGAACCACUCCUACUAUUGUCUUACGAAUAACAUAAACUAAUCUGUCUACUCAGUGCCAAAUCCAUGACUGCUUUUGUAGUUUUGAUUUUUAAGAAGUAGAGGACUGGUUUUCUGGAUUUCUGUUCAAGCACAAGCAGUUUUGAUGAAACAAGAAAAUCACCCUAUAUCCAAAGGAUACAAGAAGAGAAGUGGGAAAUGCUCCACAGGCAAGCGAGCAUGGCCCCAUUACGUGCACUGGAUGGAGGUGCUGGAUGAAGAGCAGCAGUCAGCUUCGGGGCUCCACUGGGCAAUGCCCAUGCCAAACACUCACUGACAUGGUGUGUGUGUAGAUAAGACUGGUCUUUUUUUCCUUCUGCACAGGAAUAUAAAGUUUUUCCAAGUAAGUGGUCAUUAAAAGACUGCAUAGUGAGGCUGAUAUUAGUCACUGUGCAUUACAGGGCUGGAGACUGCGAACAAGGCCGAGUACAAUCCUGCCUCUCUGAAAGCUGAUGGAAAACCUCGCUUUUGGCUCAGAGGCAGCUUUAACCAACCAUCCUAUGUGAAAGGGUGUACUGAUGAAGAAAAGUGAUAAUAUCCCUCCUUGGGUCUGAAACAUGAGAUGCCGUGUGUGCUCUGCACACCAGUGCUUCACAGUAUGGGAGGGUGGGGAAAACAAAAUCUUCCUCUAAAGGCAGAAUAGGGUGUGCUUGGCAAAGGAGCAGUCAGUUCAUGACAAUAAAUGAGCUCAAGGGUCCA
rnacentral:lncRNA from 1 species